rnacentral:rRNA from 1 species
UACCAGCACCCCGAGUGGCUCGGGACGUUUUAUUGGGCCUAAAGCAUCCGUAGCCGGUUCUACAAGUCUUCCGUUAAAUCCAACUGCUUAACAGGUGGGCUGCGGAAGAUACUAUAGAGCUAGGAGGCGGGAGAGGCAAGCGGUACUCGAUGGGUAGGGGUAAAAUCCGUUGAUCCAUUGAAGACCACCAGUGGCGAAGGCGGCUUGCCAGAACGCGCUCGACGGUGAGGGAUGAAAGCUGGGGGGAGCAAACCGG